UGGCAAGGCGCUUGACUACGAAUCAAGAGAUUGCAGGUUCGAUCCCUGCGUAGGUCA
rfam:Pseudogymnoascus pannorum VKM F-4518 (FW-2643) contig_1659, whole genome shotgun sequence.